rnacentral:lncRNA from 1 species
UUACAACGACGACGAGCCUUUAAUCUCAUCUCCUAUGUCUCCCGCUGGUUUCCACACGAUACUCGAAUCCGACGAAAACGAAGACGGCGAGUUCACUGGAUUCUCCGUUAAUACGCCGUCACCUUUAACGGCGAAGCUAUUAACGGAUGAUUCUUUAAGAAACGUGGAGGUUAAGCUCUCGCCGGAAUCUGCGAUCGUUGCGGCGGUGAAAGGUUACGAGACUUACUCCGUCGUUAUGAAGGUGAAAUCUCCGCCCCUUACGACGGCGCGUAGGUUACCGGUGGAUUUGGUUAUCGUUUUAGACGUGGCCGGGAGGUUAGAAUCGCUGAAGCGAACGAUGAAGCUCCUGAUUUCGAAUCUUAAGGAGACGGAUCGUUUAUCCAUCGUCGCGUUUUCGUCGAGCUCGAAACGGUUGUUGCCGUUACGGAGGAUGACGGCGAACGGGAGGAGAUCAGCAAGAAGAAUCGUGGAUAUCAUCUCCGUCUCCGGCGCCGGAGUCGCUUGUAACGGCGGAGGAAUAACCGCGAACGACGCGUUGAAGAAGGCGGUGAAGGUGUUGGAGGAUCGCCGGCUCCCUCCUCAAAUCAAAACUCCGAUUCAACAAGGCGAAGAGUAGCAACAAAUGUGGAAUCUGCUCACAGAGCGUGAAACCAGGUCAAGGCACGGCGAUUUUCACGGCGGAGUGCUCACACACGUUUCAUUUCCCCUGCGUGACGUCACGUGCCGCAGCGGAUCAUAACCGGCUCGUCACGUGUCCGGUUUGCGGAUCUUCGCUGUUGCCUGAAACUCGAAAUUACGGUAAACCGGGUUCUCAAACCGGACAAGAGACCAGCCGGUUAAGAGUUUACAACGACGACGAGCCUUUAAUCUCAUCUCCUAUGUCUCCCGCUGGUUUCCACACGAUACUCGAAUCCGACGAAAACGAAGACGGCGAGUUCACUGGAUUCUCCGUUAAUACGCCGUCACCUUUAACGGCGAAGCUAUUAACGGAUGAUUCUUUAAGAAACGUGGAGGUUAAGCUCUCGCCGGAAUCUGCGAUCGUUGCGGCGGUGAAAGGUUACGAGACUUACUCCGUCGUUAUGAA